GGAGGGAUCGCAUAGUGGCCUAGUGCGGGUGCCUGCUAAGCACUUACCUCGUUGAUUCGGGGUCGUGGGUUCGAAUCCCACUCCCUCCGCCA
rnacentral:tRNA from 1 species